UAAUGAGUAGUUUAAUAAAAAAACAAUAGGUUGUGGUUCUAUAAAUAGGCUAGGUCUCUCAUUAG
rnacentral:tRNA from 1 species